rnacentral:rRNA from 1 species
UAGUCCACGCCGUAAACGAUGAGCACUAGCUAUUGGAGGUAUUGACCCCUUCAGUGGCGCAGCUAACGCAUUAAGUGCUCCGCCUGGGGAGUACGGUCGCAAGACUAAAACUCAAAGGAAUUGACGGGGGCCCGCACAAGCGGUGGAUCAUGUGGUUUAAUUCGAAGCAACGCGAAGAACCUUACCUGGGCUUGAACUCCUAAGAAUUCAAAGUAAUGUUUGAAGUGUCCGCAAGGAAAUUUAGUGAGAGGUGCUGCAUGGCUGUCGUCAGCUCGUGUUGUGAAAUGUUGGGUUAAGUCUCGCAACGAGCGCAACCCCUAUCUUUAGUUGCCAGCAUUUAGUUGGGCACUCUAGAGAGACUGCCUGGGCAACCAGGAGGAAGGUGGGGAUGACGUCAAGUCCUCAUGGCCCUUAUGUCCAGGGCUACACACGUGAUACAAUGGCAAGUACAAAGAGAAGCGAACUCGCGAGGGGAAGCCAAUCUCAAAAAGCUUGUCUCAGUUCGG